GAUGAACGCUGACAGAAUGCUUAACACAUGCAAGUCUACUUGAUUUAUGGUUUCGGCCGUAAUGAUGGUGGCGGACGGGUGAGUAACGCGUAAAGAAUCUGCCCUUUAGUCUGGGAUAACAGUUGGAAACGACUGCUAAUAUCGGAUAUUAUGGAAUCAUCGCAUGAUGAAAUCAUGAAAGCUAUAUGCGCUAGAGGAGGACUUUGCGUCCCAUUAGCUAGUUGGUGAGGUAACGGCUCACCAAGGCGACGAUGGGUAGCCGGCCUGAGAGGGUGAUCGGCCACAAGGGAACUGAGACACGGUCCUUACUCCUACGGGAGGCAGCAGUGGGGAAUAUUGGACAAUGGGCCACAAGCCUGAUCCAGCAAUUCUGUGUGCACGAUGAAGGUCUUCGGAUUGUAAAGUGCUUUCAGUAGGGAAGAAUAAAUGACGGUACCUACAGAAGAAGCGACGGCUAAAUAUGUGCCAGCAGCCGCCGUAA
rnacentral:rRNA from 1 species